GACGAACGCUGGCGGCGCGCUUAACACAUGCAAGUCGAGCGAGAUCCAGGCCUUCGGGCCUGGGGACAGCGGCGAACGGGUGAGUAACACGUGGGUAAUCAACCCUCGACACUGGGAUAGCCCGGGGAAACCCGGAUUAAUACCGGAUGGCCCUUUGGAUCUUCGGAUCUGACGGGAAAGGUAGCUUCGGCCUCCGGUCGAGGACGAGCCCGCGGCGGAUUAGCUUGUUGGUGGGGUAACGGCUCACCAAGGCGACGAUCCGUAGCUGGUCUGAGAGGACGAUCAGCCACACUGGGACUGAGACACGGCCCAGACUCCUACGGGAGGCAGCAGUGGGGAAUAUUGGACAAUGGGGGCAACCCUGAUCCAGCGAUGCCGCGUGAGUGAAGAAGGCCUUCGGGUCGUAAAGCUCUUUAGGUUGGGAAGAAGAGUGAUGGAGGAAAUGCUAUCACUUUGACGGUACCGACAGAAUAAGCACCGGCAAACUCUGUGCCAGCAGCCGCGGUAAGAC
rnacentral:rRNA from 1 species